UCGGAUAUGGUGUAACGGCCAACAUUGCCGCCUCUCAUCCGAGGGUGCGCGGCAGCUCGGGGUUCGAUUCCCCGUAUCCGAA
rnacentral:tRNA from 2 species